GAGUCGCGUUAACGUGCAAUUAAGACGUUCGCGGUAACCUCUCAUUAUUCAGAGUUCUUCUGGAUUUCAGAGUGGUUUCUCCCUCUGUUUGACGCCUCCCUGUUAACUUCCGAGAGCCGUUUCGACGGCUCUUUUCUU
rnacentral:sRNA from 1 species